AUUGAACGCUGGCGGAAUGCUUUACACAUGCAAGUCGAACGGCAGCACGGACUUCGGUCUGGUGGCGAGUGGCGAACGGGUGAGUAAUGUAUCGGAACGUGCCCAGUCGUGGGGGAUAACGUAGUGAAAAUUACGCUAAUACCGCAUACGAUCUAUGGAUGAAAGAGGGGGAUCGCAAGACCUCGCGCGAUUGGAGCGGCCGAUAUCAGAUUAGGUAGUUGGUGGGUAAAGGCCCACCAAGACAACGAUCUGUAGCUGGUCUGAGAGGACGACCAGCCACACUGGAACUUAGACACGGUCCAGACGCCUACGGGAGGCAGCAGUGGGGAAUUUUGGACAAUGAGCGAAAGCCUGAUCCAGCCAUUCCGCGGGCAGGAUGAAGGCCCUCGGGUUGUAAACUGCUUUUGUACAGAACGAAAAGGUUUCUACUAAUACUAGGAGCUCAUGACGGUACUGUAAGAAUAAGCACCGGCUAACUACGUGCCAGCCGCCGCAGUAA
rnacentral:rRNA from 1 species